rnacentral:rRNA from 1 species
CAGCAGCCGCGGGAAUACGUAGGGUGCGAGCGUUAAUCGGAAUUACUGGGCGUAAAGCGUGCGCAGGCGGUUUUGUAAGACAGGCGUGAAAUCCCCGGGCUCAACCUUGGAAUGGCGCUUGUGACUGCAAAGCUAGAGUGCGGCAGAGGGGGAUGGAAUUCCGCGUGUAGCAGUGAAAUGCGUAGAUAUGCGGAGGAACACCGAUGGCGAAGGCAAUCCCCUGGGCCUGCACUGACGCUCAUGCACGAAAGCGUGGGGAGCAAACAGGAUUAGAUACCCGCGUAGUCCCUGUCUCUUAUAC